AACAUAGAUGCCACCGCCGAUGCCGUGGGGAUUUCCUCCUCGCGGGCAGUCACAAUCACCAGGAUUGCCCUCACACUCACCAGGAUCAGUACGUUAAGGUUCGGGCUCACAUCAUGCUAGUCCGCCUCCGGAUCCGAGCACGUUUAUGGACUUAUUGAUGAACACAAGUGGCGGCGGCUCCAAUGACCCACCAACGGAAUAAAUUAAUAUGGAGGCUUAUGUGGAACUUACUAUCAAUGCGUUUUGUAUGGACUUUAACUUGUUUUAGAUGGAUUUGAACUUAUUUCUUAUGGACUUGAACUUGUAUGAAUAUUGAAUAUGGUGCUUGUGU